AGACUUAGUUAUUUUCUUUAAUGUUAGUUUAAUAGAGGAGCUGUGAUGUAUAUGUAAUGCUAACAACAUGGAAUUCUAAAUAAUAAACAUAACUCCAAUUAUGUAAAUGAGAGAUACCUACAUUGGAGUUAAUAAGUUAUUUGUAGCUUUAAGAGCCAGAAAGAGCCAGAUUUUAUUAACAACCUAUGGAAUGUUUUUGGUAGGUUAGCAUUUGUUAUUUCUUCCAAGAUAUAUUUUAAUCAUAAUAUUUAAAUUUGAGUGUGAACCCUAGUGAUACCUAUUUAUUCCCAUAGUCUGUCUGAAGAAGUAAGUAGGUGAGCAUGGAGGAGAAUUUAAAAUGCUUAUCUUGGUGUUCCCGUCAUGGCCACAGUGGAAAUGAAUCCAACUAGGAAUCAUGAGGUUACUGCUUUGAUCCCUGGCUUUGCUCAGUGGGUUAAGGAUCUGGCAUUACCAUGAGCUGUGAUGUUAAGUCCGCAGACGCGGCUCAGAUUUGGUGGUGCUGUGGCUCUGGCAUCAGCUGGCAACUGUAGCUCUGAUUUGACCCCUAGCCUGGGACCCUCCAUAUGCUGUGGGUGUGGCCCUAAAAAGAAAAAACAAGAUGCCUAUCCUAAGUAGAAGACCUGGAAGGUCAGGUUCUUAUGAAACCACAAAGCACCACACCUACUUGGAAAACCAGUUUGUGCUGAGCAGGAACAUGCAACUGGGACUGAGCUGGGGUGGAUUCUUUCAAUUUCUUUCAAUUUCUUUCCCUUUGCGUGUUUUCCACCCUAUCAGUCAUUUCAAAGGCACAUGGAUUUAAAUAGUGACAGACACAUUUGAUACUUUACCCUUUAGCCCAGUAGAGUGUGUCUACUUUCCUCACAAUAAUGAGGAAUUUGCAAUAUCACAAGAUCUAAAAACAUUUAUAGAAUAAAAGCCAGGCUUAUAAACCUUGUAUUACUGUAUGCUAUUAUUGUGCUAUGUUAAAUGGAUAUACUCUGUUUUUUCCCUAGAGGAAAUCGUAGUUUGAAUUCUAACUAAUAAGUAUUUAAUUGAAAAGAUGUGUUUGAAAUGGAUUUCAUAGAUAUUUUUCUGGAACGGGCUAGCACUUAGGAGAAGUUAGACUUUAAUUUCUUCCUCCCAUUUUCCAUAUAUAGUAUGUUAUAUACCUUCUACUUUUCAUAAUAUAUGAUGUGAUCAAAAUUUGGUAUUAUACUAAUAUAAUUUGUUGAAGUGAAUUUGACCUGAUUUGAAUUAAAAGCUCUUUGGAAAUGAAUAUGUUAGGAACUAGAAAUGCUCCUAUAGGUGUUCCUGGAUACUGUACUAGUUCUCUCAUAGACUUUUUGCAUUAUUCCAUCAAAUAGGAAAUAACUGAAACCCCUCAAGCCCAAGUUAUACUUUUUUUUGGGGGGAGGCGGUAAUUUACUGUUUUGGAAUUGAAAAUGCAUUUCUUCCUUUGAAACCCAUGUAGUACAUUGAGCGAGGUUCCUAGGACAGAAUUUCCAGAGAUCUUUUCAUCCUAAAAUGGGAGGCCUUGUCUGAUUUCUGGAUCAUUGUUGACAACUACAUAACUGGAAAUGAGAAGAAGCCCUAGAAAAGAGAAUUCCAGAGGGAUUUCACCUUACAAUAUUGCUGAAUUAAUGAUACUUUGAAAAAAGCACUACGUUGCUAAAGCAGAUCUUAAUAUGUUCCUGUACCAUCAUCAUAAUGAUAUGUAAAAGUUUUUUUCCUGUAGCUCUUUCUCAAUCUCAACCUUUUGCCCCUCCCUUUUUUUUUUUUUUUUUUGGUCUCAAUUUCCUCACUUAUUUCCAUUUUAAUAUAUAGUACUGGUAUUUUUAUAUGCUAUCAAUCGCUUUGUAAUAAAACAGAAAUAAUUUUUAAAAGUAUCACAUUUAAGAUGUAUUAGAAACCACUAACAGAGCAAUUGGGAAAGAUGGAAUAGAGCACUAGACUUGGGCUCAGGUUCUAGCACCACAAUUUUCCAAUUCAGGGCCAAAACUUUGGCCUCUCUCAAGAGACUAUUUUUCUCAUAUACUCUAAGAUCUUAAUGCUGAUUAAGUCAUGUUAUAUUUGGGAAAGUAUAUGGCAUAAACUAGAAAGAUAAUUACAUAUUAGUUGAAUCUAUAUCAGGUUUUCAUAGGUUAGGGAAAAUAUAUUGUGGUUUUUCUUCCUUUUUAAAUCUGUUAUUCCUGUGACCGAAUUGUUACAGUUUGGUGCAUUCACUAGGAAUGAGUCUAGGCAUUCUGGAUUUUGAGCAUUUGUGAAAAAUCUAAUGAAUGCCACAUCGGUGCUGUGCCCAGAGAGCUUCCUCUAGAGAAGGCUUAUUCCUUGAACUUCCAUGUUGCAUCAGUGCCAGUAGACAGAACCUAUGACAAGAGGAAGCCUUCUCCAAGCCUCCAAAGCAGCACCCUGAAACAUAUAUUCUUAUAGACUUUGUGCUAUAUAGUAUUGAUUUGUCAUGGUUUUCCUUCAAAAGCCAUUUUAUUCUUAACACAAUUAAACAACAGUGCAAUUGUGAGAAUAUAACUAUACUCCCUGUAUUUCUUGUUACAAAUGGGCCUUUCCCUGAGGUGGGUCUAGGCUCUUUUAUGGAGACCUGUCAUCUUCAUGUUGGCCUUUGUUCUGAGCCAGCUUUUUCUAAAGACUGGAACUUCCUUCAGUCUGUUUCAUAUCCAAGCCAAAAAACUCUGUACCCAUGAACUCUAUUAAUGAAGCUGUAUUAUACUGUGAUUGGAAACCUUUUUGGGAGUUCCCUUGUGGCUCAGCAGAAACUAAUCUGACUAGCAUCCUUCAGAAUGCAGGUUCACUCCUUGGCCCCGCUCAGUGGAUUAAGGAUCCGGCUUUGCUGUGAACUGUGGUGUAGAUCACAGAUGGGGCUCAGAUCCUCCGUUGGUGUGGCUAUGGCGUAGGCCUGCAGCUAUAGCUCCAAUUUGACCCUUAUUCUGGGAACCUCCACAUGCCAUGGGUGUGGCCCU
rnacentral:lncRNA from 1 species